rnacentral:rRNA from 1 species
UCCGGUUGAUCCUGCCAGAGGCGACCGCUAUUGGAGUUCGAUUAAGCCAUGCGAGUAGAAAGAAAUUAGAUUCUUUGCAUACUGCUCAGUAACACGUGGAUAACCUGCCCUACACUGGGGGAUAAUCUCGGGAAACUGAGGAUAAUACCCCAUAGACCACUACGCCUGGAACGGUGAGUGGUUGAAAGCUCAGGCGGUGUAGGAUGGGUCUGCGGCGUAUCAGGUCGUAGGGGGUGUAAUGGACCUCCUAGCCAUCGACGCGUACGGGUUGUGGGAGCAAUAGCCCGGAGACGGAUUCUGAGACACGAAUCCGGACCCUACGGGGUGCAGCAGGCGCGAAAACUUCACACUGCAGGAAACUGUGAUGAGGGAACUCCAAGUGACUGCACAUUGUGUAGCCUUUUCUUGAAUCUUAAUAGUUCUUGGAAUAAGGGCUGGGAAAGACCGGUGCCAGCCGCCGCGGUAAUACCGGCAGCUCGAGUGGUCGUCGCUUUUAUUGGGCCUAAAACGUCCGUAGCCUGUUUGGUAAAUCUGUGGGUAAAUCAACGAGCUCAACUCGUUGAAUUCUGCAGAGACUGCCAGACUAGGGACCGGGAGAGGUAUGAGGUACUCUGGGGGUAGGGGUAAAAUCCUGUCAUCCUCAGAGGACCACCUGUUGCGAAGGCGUCAUACUGGAACGGAUCCGACGGUCAGGGACGAAG